rnacentral:rRNA from 1 species
GACGAACGCUGGCGGCGUGCCUAAUACAUGCAAGUGGGACGCAAGGGAACACACUGUGCUUGCACACCGUGUUUUCUUGAGUCGCGAACGGGUGAGUAACGCGUAGGUAACCUGCCUAUUAGCGGGGGAUAACUAUUGGAAACGAUAGCUAAUACCGCAUAAUAUUAAUUAUUGCAUGAUAAUUGAUUGAAAGAUGCAAGCGCAUCACUAGUAGAUGGACCUGCGUUGUAUUAGCUAGUUGGUAAGGUAAGAGCUUACCAAGGCGACGAUACAUAGCCGACCUGAGAGGGUGAUCGGCCACACUGGGACUGAGACACGGCCCAGACUCCUACGGGAGGCAGCAGUAGGGAAUCUUCGGCAAUGGACGAAAGUCUGACCGAGCAACGCCGCGUGAGUGAAGAAGGUUUUCGGAUCGUAAAGCUCUGUUGUAAGUCAAGAACGUGUGUGAGAGUGGAAAGUUACACAGAGACGUAGCUACCAGAAAGGGC